CUGCUCACAAUGGGAGGUCACAGCUUUGCCCGUUUAGCACUCAUAGUCCUUUCUGUUCUCAUUUACAUCAUCUGCAUCAUAUUCAACGCACUUGCUGGACCGGGAACUGGUCCUUUUCGGAACAACACUGGAGCGAUAUCAGAUAAAUACAAUACAGAAAUCACUCCCUCGGGAUGGACCUUCUCAAUCUGGGGUGUCAUAUACACUUGGUUGUCGCUCAUGCAUAUUUAUAUCCUCACCACUACCUGCAGGAGGACUGUUUAUGGUCCAAUGUACUGCAGUCCCGCUGUGUUGCCAUACGGAUUCUUCAUAACCUGGAUUGUAAACAUGCUGCUAAAUAUAAUCUGGCUUCUUCUGUGGGACAGACAGGUGAUGAUUGCUGCAUUCAUUAUCCUUGCCUUGAUUGCCUUCACAAACUAUUUACUGAUAAUCUUCUCCUGUCAUGGACUCAAACAAUAUGGAGCCUGGUUAAACAAAUAUCACAAAGUAGACCUUUGGUGCAUAAGGAUAUUGGUUCAGAAUGGCAUUGCAACAUACACAACAUGGACAACAAUUGCCACCCUGAUUAACUUCACUGUUGUGCUGAGAUAUGAUGCUGGAAUGACCCAGUCAGAUGCAGCAACAGUCUCUCUCUCUAUUCUUUUGGGUGAAGCUAUUUCUUGGUUCAUUGUUGAGAACUUUGUGUUUGAAAAGCACCUGCGAUACAUUCUGACAGUCUACCCUGUUGUUAUUGUGGCCUUGAGUGGAAACAUGACAAAGAACUUUAAAUCUGCAGAUCCAAGCCGCAGUGGCAUUUACAUAGCUGUUUUGCUGGGGUUGACUUGUACACUAUUUGCGAUCAAAGUGUUGCUGGUUAUAUGGAGGCACAUUAAACAUCCUCUCUACAAAGGCAUGAAUUUAGAGGAGGCGAUAUCACCAAUGGAAAUUGCUGAAAAGCAGAAGAAGAUCUUCACUUAAACUCAAUAAUUUGUAUGAUUUGAUUUUAUAUUUGUCAUAAUUUUUCAAAGCUAUUUAUUUUUGUAAUUGUUCAAAUGUGUAAAUAUGUAAUUUUGAUAAAUGAUAAAAACUAAAAUGCAAAGCUUGUGUAAAUGAGUUACACAAAUUGAAUUGCUCUUAUCAGGGCAGGGGGUGUUCUAGGGUGUCUUUACAGUGACCAUGAUCUAUGCACUGUUAUGUACCAUUUUCUCCAGCAAUAAAAUCAUAAAACUCACUAGGGUUUAAAGUUUU
ensembl:lncRNA